CCUGCCCCGCACCAACAAUGCAUUUCACCGAAAGCUUUCGGUGAAAUGCAUUGUUGGUGCGGGGCAGG
rnacentral:pre_miRNA from 1 species